CAAGAAGACAUAUGGCUUAGGUUCUGCUGAGCUAUUGGUGAUUUGAUUCCAUGCAUAUGUAUUCACUACUGAAUCUACUUGGAGAGAGUCAAACACAGAAUCCCUUUGAAUUUAAUGGCCAUUCCAGGUGAUUUGAACAGCCAAAUAAGAAACAGGUCCUCUUCAAUGUACAAUCUGCCAAGUAUGAAGUCUGAAUGACCAUCAUUAUUAUGUAUUUAAUGUGCAUAGAAAAUCUAUCUGCAACCUUCCAGAGUGUACCAGAAGUUUGGAAUGUACAUUAUUAUUGGCUCCAUCUCAAACCACUCAUAAAUCAAAGAAAAUAGCAGUUCCAGAGGAAUCAUCAUAGAGGCUUCUAGGCCCCCAUGCUGUGUGAACCUGGUGAGAAAGGGAAGUCUGCUCUCACUGGACACUGGAACUGUUUGUCUCUGUCUCUGCUGUACUUUCCCUGCCUCUACCUCACUUAGUAAAGAAAUCAUCUUUGCUUGAUAACUAAAACAACCAAUAAGGCUGAGAAAGGGGAAAACCCACAUCUGGAUUUAAAUACAAGGUAUUGGGCCAGCUGCUGGGGAUUAAACUUUGAACAAAACAGAUAGAAUCUAUGUCCUCAUGGGAGUGGCUAAUGGGAGAGUCGGAACAAAAAAAUAGCCAAGGAUAAUCCAGCAAAUGAUUUGGUGAAUGCUAUCAAAGAGAGAAAUACACAUG
rnacentral:lncRNA from 1 species